rnacentral:lncRNA from 1 species
UAUUUUUGAACUGCCUCUGCUCACGUCAGUGACUCCCUGUAGCAGCCUGUCCACUGGCUAUAAGAGCCUGAGCAUCCUUGGCAGAUCGUAGGCAGGGCCAGGCAAAGCCAAACUCCUGGUAAGCUUUAUCACCUUUUCUGUGUUUCAGCUUCCAUGUCACAACUAGAGUUGGAAAAUUAUCUCUACUUAUGCUGUUGUGUACAGCACCAUGUCCCAAGUACACCUCCUGCUGCUCUUGGCUGCCCUGGUACUGACCAGCCAUGUACACGGAGCCACACUGAGGAAUGAAGACACGUGGAAGCCACUGAGCAACCCCAGAAACCGAGAACUGUUUUUCAGAAGCCUCCAGGCCUACUUUAAGGGCAGAGGACUUGAUCUUGGGAACCUUCCAAAUACCUUCUUCAUGAAUGAGGACCCCAGACCUCUCUCUUUCGGGUCUGAGCAUAUUGCUUCUGCAUUUGCAGACUAUGAAGAGCAGAAAAACUCCCUCCGUAAUUCCUACAAAGGCUGAAAGCCCAGGU